rnacentral:rRNA from 1 species
UACGUAGGGUGCAAGCGUUAAUCGGAAUUACUGGGCGUAAAGCGUGCGCAGGCGGUUAUGUAAGACAGAUGUGAAAUGCCCGGGCUCAACCUGGGAACUGCAUUUGUGACUGCAUGGCUAGGGUGUGUCAGAGGGGGGUGGAAUUCCGCGUGUAGCAGUGAAAUGCGUAGAGAUGCGGAGGAACACCGAUGGCGAAGGCAGCCCCCUGGGAUAACACUGACGCUCAUGCACGAAAGCGUGGGGAGCAAACAGGAUUAGAUACCCUUGUAGU